GGGCCUAUAGAUCAGUUGGUUAGAGCACCGGAAUCAUAAUCCGUAGGUCGUAGGUUCGAGUCCUACUGGGCCCACCA
rnacentral:tRNA from 1 species